rnacentral:rRNA from 1 species
UACGAAGGGGGCUAGCGUUGCUCGGAAUUACUGGGCGUAAAGCGCACGUAGGCGGCUUUCUAAGUCGGAGGUGAAAUCCUGGAGCUCAACUCCAGAACUGCCUUCGAUACUGGAGAGCUUGAGUCCGGGAGAGGUGAGUGGAACUGCGAGUGUAGAGGUGAAAUUCGUAGAUAUUCGCAAGGACACCAGUGGCGAAGGCGGCUCACUGGCCCGAUACUGACGCUGAUGCACGAAAGCGUGGGGAGCAAACAGG